CCUUCGAUAGCUCAGUUGGAAGAGCGCGAGACUGUAAUGGUUAACCGGGCUUGAACCGUAAUCUUGAGGUCGCUGGUUCGAUCCCGGCUCGAAGGA